CGAAUUGUCAGGUAGAAAAUACUAUUACUUGUCGUUUUUCUUUUUUUCGAGUAAGAAGGUAGAAUAAAAUUUGCACAUUUUCCCCAAUUACCAGUUGCAAGAAUAGUGAUUAAACCAAUUAUCACUUUCAUUUUGACUUAGAAUAGCAAUUACUCAACACUUUUUUUUUUAUUUAGCCUGAGAUGAAGAACUGAAUCGUGCCAAUUAACACCUUCACUUUGAUGCAGGUGUGGUAAUUAUAUCCACCCCAGUUACCAAUCUUCACUUUGACUUAGAACUGUAAUCAAAUCACUCAGCGCCUUUCAUUCAGACUCAGGUGUAAGAGUCCUGUAUAGCUCUACUGAUUAACGCCUUCCAUUCUGACAGGUGUAACAACCGUGAUUGUAGGUGUGAGAUUUAUAAUUGCGUUGAUAAUAAGCAGAACACAAAAAUGAAAACAGAAUAGCGAAUACAAAAUACACUAAAUGAUAAAAGCUUUAUUAUGUAGCAAAAUGAGAAUAAGAACAACUGUGAUGCAUAUUUUAAAUUUUGACAAUCCUGGAAAUUAUAAAAGAAUCGAAGUGGAAAACAAAAUAAAGAAAAAAGCGUCAUUUCUAAUGUGAAAAAUAAUAAUCAGAAAAAAAUAUAUAUGCGUAUUCUUAAUCUUAACAAUGAGGAAUAUAAAAAAUGCAUACAAAUAUAAACACAGAAUAAAAAAAAUGCGAAAUAAAAAAUAAAGGUUACUUUUAAUGAAGGAAUUACAAAAAAGACUAAUUUAAACGCGUAUUGUUAGUUUCACCGCUGAAGAAAAUACAAAUUAUGGUCAAUUUUUACCUGCAAAAAUUACACAAACUUAAACUGAAGUUCUUAAUUUUGACGAUAUUAACUGAAAAAUUGAAAGAAACAAAGAAAAAGUAAAAAAAAAAAAAGAAAAAAGAAAAAGAACUUGACACCAAUUUUCAUGCAGAAGAAAAGAAGCUGAAAAAAAGAAGAAAAAAAGAUAUUAAACGUGCACUCUUGAUCUAAACGACGUACUGAGACAAGCGCACUGACCACUAAAUAAUUAUGUAGCAGGCAGGCAGGCACGAGAGAAUUACAGUAACCAAACACACUAAAUAUUAACACAGUAUCAACAAGUGCUAAAUUAUCUGAACACCUUACAUUAAAACUCCAGAAAUCAUCGUAUUAGGAUCAUCACACGCUCCAUAAACUCUGCAGGAUCAGGUGCGAGAACAGGUAUAAAAAAUAAAGGCAGGUAAAAACACAAGACAAGGUACAAUUAACUUCACACGAGACAAGGACAGCCCGAGGAGUGACUUGUGACUUUAAUGUGUAUGUGUGCGUGUGGGAGAGAGAGAGAGAGAGAGAGAGAGAGAGAGAGAGAGAGAGAGAGAGAGAGAGAGAGAGAGAGAGAGAGAGAGAGAGAGAGAGAGAGAGAGAGAGAAUUUGAAAGUAGGAUGAUUCUUCUACGUGUUUGAAAGAUUUUGUUUAAGGAAGGUUUUUAUCUCUGUAUGUGUGUGUGUGUGUGUGUGUGUGUGUGUGUGUGUGUGUGUGUGUGUGUGUGUGUGUGUGAUGCGAUUCAGUUCCCCCCACUCUCUCUCUCUCUCUCUCUCUCUCUCUCUCUCUCUCUCUCUCUCUCUCUCUCUCUCUCUCUCUCUCUCUCUCUCUCUCUCUCUCUCACCCACAUUAGCACUUCCAUCACACCCCUCCACUCCACCUCCCGUCCUCCACCAGUUUACCACACUCCACCACCAUCACCACCACACGUCACUCACACACUCCACUUGAUCACCACCACAGGCACUCCACCACACAACUCCACAAUUUGUUAUCCACCCUGCCACACUUCUUGUACUCCACACUACUCAGAUCAAUUUUUUCACUCACGGUAACAUCCUGACCCAUAGAUAGAUAGAUGGAUAGAUUGGUAGAUAGACAGAUAGAUCGAUAGACAGAUGAGUGAAUAGGUACGUAGGUAGAUAGAUGAAUGGAUAGGUAUGUAGACAGGUACACAUAAAGGUAGAUAGAUAGGUAGAUAGAUAGACAGACAAGCAGGCACACACAUAGACACACAGGCAAACAGAUAGACACACGAACAAAUAGAUGGCUGAAUGGAUAGAUAAGUACCUACACAUAACCUCGCCUUACCUACAUACCUUACAAGCCCACAAUCAUCCCAACCACCCACCCACACCCACACACACACACACACACACACACACACACACACGCCGCUACACCUGAGUGCGUAAGGGCGCGAGGAAAAUGGUAGUGCGGCGAUGAAUGAAGAGGAACACAGUGAGGGGGAGGGGGAAAGGGAGUAGUGAGCUGAAUGGCGCAGGGAGAGGGAGAGGGCAGGGAGGGGUACGGGAGGGGGCGGUUCCCUCGUUUACUCAGGCGGGAAGUCUUCACGCUUGAGCUCACACGAGAUCAGCUGACAGAUUUGGCGGGAAAACUUUACUUGUGUCGGUGUAAACAGUGUGUGCGUGCGUGUGUGUGUGUGUGUGUGUGUGUUUCUUUAGGUCUGGUGGGAAGUUAUUGAUGUGUGUGUGUGUGUGUGUGUGUGUGUGUGUGUGUGUGUGUGUGUGUGUGUGUGUGUGUGUGUGUGUGUGGAGGGAGGGGGAGUGUGUAUGGACAGGAGGAUGUAAUAAGAUGAAAAUGGCGCUCUAAUUCAAAACAACAACAACGACAACAACAACAGUAGUAGUAGUAGUAGUAGUAGUAGUAGUAGUAGUAGUGACAACAACAGCAAUAACAAGCGGGACUCGUGGAUAUAACACGGUACGAUGAUUUAACUAUUACGUUUGAUAUGUAUGCUUAGGACGAAGAGAAAGAGGAGGAAAGGGAGAAGGACGAGGUGGUGAAGAGGACUUAGUCAAAAUGUGUAGAUACUGGUGUGAUACAAAGGCGUCACACACGAAGGAACGAACGAAUGUAUUAACGACAACAACAACAACAACAACAACAACAACAACAACAACAACAACAAUAACGAAGUAGAAACAAAAGCCAAAAAUAAAAAUGCCAUUCUCUAGAGUACAAUAAUAAUCCUCCUCCACCUUCCCUCCUCCUCCUCCUCCUCCUCCUCCUCCACCCUCAGUGACGCCACCACUCCACUCCACUCCACCGUUAUGACGUCACCGGCCCCCUCCCCCCUUAACCCCUCAUAACCACAACCCUCCUCCUCCUCCUCCUCUUCCUCCUCCUCUUCCCCACAACACUUCUCAAUGUAAACAAGAUAUACGUGCGUCAGGAGGAGGAGGAGGAGGAGGAGGAGGAGGAGGAGGAGGGGGAGGGAUGGAUACGAUCAUUAAGGUUCCUCCCCACUAUAAUCCCCUCUUCUAUCCCCCCAUUCUCUCUCUCUCUCUCUCUCUCUCUCUCUCUCUCUCUCUCUCUCUCUCUCUCUCUCUCUCUCUCUCUCUCUCUCUCAUAUCAAUCACUCGGGUAAACCAUGCUAUCUCGUUUCUGUUAUUCAUGCAAACCAUUCUGCGUCUUGUCUCUUAUCUGUCAGAGUUUCUAAACAGCCUUCGUAACUUUCCUUCCCUCUCCCUCUUGCCCGCGACGAGUGAGAGAGGGAAGGGAGAGAGGGGAGGGAGAAGGGAGUGUGAGCGAGUGGGGGUAGUGGUGGUGGUGGAGGAGGAGGGAGAUAAGAUGAUGAGAUGUGUUGGUUUAAUAUCUUUUUGUUUUGUGUAACUUGUCGGGAGGUUAAUAAAUGACUCUCCCACCCUCUCUCUCUCUCUCUCUCUCUCUCUCUCUCUCUCUCUCUCUCUCUCUCUCUCUCUCUCUCAGUGAAUGAUUAGGUAAGAAUGAAAUGCUGAGUGUACGUACGAAGCUAACGGACUGAGAGAGAGAGAGAGAGAGAGAGAGAGAGAGAGAGAGAGAGAGAGAGAGAGAGAGAGAGAGAGAGAGAGAGAGAGAGAUGCUCCACCACCCAGACGCCACAGAGGUAUGUCAAGUGUUCCCCAGGGCACCGAGCAGACCUGGGGGGACGGGGGAGGGAAGGUAUAGGAGUGGAGAGAAGGUAGGAGAGGUAGGAGAGGAGAGAAGGACGGAGGAAAGGUGCCGGCAGAGAGAGAGAGAGAGAGAGAGAGAGAGAGAGAGAGAGAGAGAGAGAGAGAGAGAGAGAGAGAGAGAGAGUGAUGGAAGAGAAAGACAAAUGUACAGACAGACAAAGAGCAGAGCAGUCUAGUGGAGAGCAAGGCACCACCGCACCAUCUCCUUCACUAUCACCACCAUCGCCGCCACUAAUCACCACCAUCGCCGUCACCACCACCGCCAUCACCAUCACCACCAUCACCACCACCACCACCACCACCACCAACCCCCGCCAGCCUGUACCGCUGUUGUGGUUUCUUUCUGUCAACACCAAAACUGAAUAAAUACAGUGUUGUUUUAUUUAUCCUGUGUGUGUGUGUGUGUGUGUGUGUGUAUCAGAGAGAGAGAGAGAGAGAGAGAGAGAGAGAGAGAGAGAGAGAGAGAGAGAGAGAGAGAGAGAGAGAGAGAGAGAGACCGACAGGCAUACUGACAAAGACAACGAACAAACAUACAGGUGAUAGAAGGACAGACAGGCAAACGACACGAAGACAGACAGACAGACAAACAGGCAGGCAGCAUAGACAUAGGCAUAGACACACACACACACACACACACACACACACACACACACACACACACACACACACACACACACACAUGCCGUGGGCAAGAAUAACAAAAGGACGGAAAAUAUAGACAGAGAGACGGACAGACAAAAUAUAGACAGAUCGAAAAGCAGACGGCUAAAUAUGGAUAGAAAACAUAUACAUUAAUUAAAAAAAAGACAGAAAGACAAUUAGGAGAUAACUGAACAAACAGAGGCAAGCAAACUGACAGGCAGACAGACAGACAGACAGACAGACAGACAGACAGACAGACGGACAGACACAUAAGCAAGAUAAACAUACAAGUAUAUUGAGACAGACACACACAGAGACAAAGAGGUUACAUUCAAACACUAUGGACGUGUGUGUGUGUGUGUGUGUGUGUGUGUGUGUGUGUGUAACCCUUCCAUGUACACUUUAGAAUGCAGACAGGCAUGUGUGUACGUGUGAGUGCGCUGUGAACGCUCAUGUGUGAGUAAGUGUGGCGUGGGCGAUUGAGAGAGAGAGAGAGAGAGAGAGAGAGAGAGAGAGAGAGAGAGAGAGAGAGAGAGAGAGAGAGAGAGAGAGAGAGAGAGAGAGAGAGAGAGAGAGAGUUCAUACAGCCCAUGGGAAGGAAGAAAUGCGGGCGUGAUGAGUGAUGAACGUGUGGAUGGGUGUGGGCGGUGGUGAAAGGGUGUAGGUGGCAAGAUACACCCCAAAACACCCCUCCCUCCCACCCCUACACCCCUCACAA